rnacentral:rRNA from 1 species
GACGGAGGGCGUGGGUGUUAUUCGUUUUGAUUGGGUGUAAAGGGUACGUAGGCGGCUUAAAGUUAUUUGGCAAAAAUCGCGGAGUGUUCCUAUGCAGAUGCCUUUGAUAAAAUAAGCUUGGUGUCGGGAAUAGGUAGGGGCAAAUUCUCAUGUAGGGGUAAAAUCCUACCAUAUGAGAAUGAACGUCAGCUGGCGAAGGCGCCUUUCCGGCCCCGACAGACGCUAAGGUACGGAAGCUUAGGGAGCAAACGGG